UAUGCACAUUUAGCAUUAUUUUUUGCUAUUAGGAGCAACCCAACAAAAAGAAAAUUUUCUCUGAUUCAGAGACAAAAUACAAGGAGAAAAGAAGACAGAAAGAGGUAGGGAAGCAAACCAACAGCUCUGGUACCAUGGCGAAUGACAAGAAUGCAAAGCUCCAAAAAUACUCUCUUGGGUUAUAUAUUUUAAAUAAUAACUGUGUCUGGGAAAAAGAACUACCAAUGGCCACAUGCAUUUACAGAAAAUCUCCCUUCCAGAAGAAAAGAUGACUAGUUGGAAUGCGUUUCAGAAGAUUAAAGCAAGAAAGGCAGUCAGACCGUUUUCAUUAUUAUAUUUCAUAUGGAAUUCAUUCUCCGAAAGCAAUACCUUUAAGCUAUGAAAUCUACACUGACAUCUAUCGUCUUAAAAAGCAAGACUCCCACUUCUUUGAACAAAUAAAGAAUUUUUCUUUUCCUGUGACAUUGGCUGGUGAAGGUUGACACGUAAGUGUUAAAAUCGUGGCACAUUUCAGUAAU
rnacentral:lncRNA from 1 species